GAUUGAUGCCGAAUUUCUGAUCAAAAAUAUCUGUUUUCAGCUAAUUCUGUGGUCAACGUGCUGUUGUAGGGGUAGGUUCAUCUGAGGUUGAAGCAAAGUAGACAGGUUUACAAUAUUGAUAUAGGUGUACUGAGGGAAGAAGGGUGAGUAGUGAUGGCUUUCAAGCCAUUUGAUUGGUAUUGCCAGCCAGUGGCGAAUGGUGUAUGGGCAACAGCGGUGCAAAAUUCUCUGGGAGCUUUUACACCCUGUACCACAGACACUAUUGUGAUUUGCAUAUCACAUUUAGCUAUGAUGGGGCUGUGUGUAUAUCGAAUAUGGAUAACCAACAUGAAUUUCAAAGCUGAGAAGUUUUGUUUGAGGUCCAAAUAUUACAACUACUUUUUGGCUUUGUUGGCUGGUUACUCUGCAGCUGAACAUUUGUUCAGGUUAAUCAUGGGUGUUUCGGUGCUUAAUUUGGAAGGGGAGGCUGGUCUUGCGCCAUUUGAGCAAGUAAAUUACAGUAAUGCUAGAAAAUGAGAAAAAUAAGGUUGGUUUCAACAAUUUAGAGGAUCUAUGCAGAUAGCUCCAAGAAGAAAGUGGCUGAUGUUAUCAUGUUGAAUCAUAUAGGGAACAUAGAAGAAAACCUCUAAAGAGAAGAACAUGAAAGAGGCUUGGAAGCUAAACCAUGGAUAUGGCAUUGCCUUCUUGUUUUCUGUCAGAGAGCCAAACAACAUUGAGAAAGUACGCCAGGAGAAGGUAAGGUGCAAGGGAAGUUCAAAUUCGGAAACCACGCAAACAGAGGUGGAGGCGAACAUAUGCUUAUGCCCGCACCGCUAAUACUUAUUAUUUUCAAUAUGUUACUUUUGAAUUAUGUAGACUUUUGAGACUUAUUAUUUUAAUUUUGGAUAUUACAAUUGGUGUAUAGUGGGAUAAUUUUUUUGUAAUUAUAAGAAUUAUUUUGGAAUUGCCAAAUUGUUUGAAUGCUGAUUUUUGGCCGAAAAUUGUUUAUGCUGAUUUUUUUUUUAUUAAAAAAUUAUGAAAAGAGACCCGUUA